CGGGAGAACUGAAUGAAAAGGAAGAAACGGAAUGGUUCAUGUAUUGAUCUGGAUAAUCAUCGGUAUCAGCGGACUCGUGAUGAGCUCGUUUGGAUCGAGUUUUAAGCCUCCGACCCUACAUCACCUCAAGAGAGAAAGGGGUUGUAUUUCUUGUAUACACCACCAACAGGAUGCAUAUAUGUUGGGAUCGGGUUGCAUCGGUAUCAUGGCAAGACCGUGGGUCCGAAACAAUGUUUUUGACAGCCUUACAGGGUUUGCACACACAUCAAGGAAUUGCGGAACUGGAGAUGCAAUUCACUUCCAACAUUGAUUCCAACUCAUGUGUCCAAGGAAAAGGCUUACUACAAAACUGGCAGUUGAAGAUGAUAACUGAUUGGUUGGAUUUUGGAUGGCGAUCCUAAUUAAGUUGUGGAUAACACAAGGAUUCUUUGUCCUGUCCAAGGAACUAACAAAGCCGUAAUGCGGACCAGAAGAGCUUGAUUUUUUGGAGUAAUGGAUAUCCUCCUUUCUGACGAGAAAGAAGAAGAUUAUUCGCAGCGCUUAUCCGUUCAUGUUCAUCCCUAUAGUUAAUAGGGAAUAUGCCCCAAAAUCGACUGUCAUCUUGGAAAUAUCCCAGGAUUCCAGUUUAUGGGUAUAUGACCCAAACUAACGGUUUCCGUCAAGGAACCGUUAAAUAGUCAAUUUAUUUUAAAUGUGU